GAUGAACGCUGGCGGCGUGCCUAAUACAUGCAAGUCGAGCGAACGGACGAGAAGCUUGCUUUUCUGAUGUUAGCGGCUGACGGGUGAGUAACACGUGGAUAACCUACCUAUAAGACUGGGAUAACUUCGGGAAACCGGAGCUAAUACCGGAUAAUAUUUUGAACCGCAUGGUUCAAAAGUGAAAGACGGUCUUGCUGUCACUUAUAGAUGGAUCCGCGCUGCAUUAGCUAGUUGGUAAGGUAACGGCUUACCAAGGCAACGAUGCAUAGCCGACCUGAGAGGGUGAUCGGCCACACUGGAACUGAGACACGGUCCAGACUCCUACGGGAGGCAGCAGUAGGGAAUCUUCCGCGAUGGGCGAAAGCCUGACGGAGCAACGCCGCGUGAGUGAUGAAGGUCUUCGGAUCGUAAAACUCUGUUAUUAGGGAAGAACAUAUGUGUAAGUAACUGUGCACAUCUUGACGGUACCUAAUCAGAAAGCCACGGCUAACUACGUG
rnacentral:rRNA from 1 species